UACGUAGGGUGCAAGCGUUACUCGGAAUUACUGGGCGUAAAGCGUGCGCAGGCGGCUUUGCAAGACAGAUGUGAAAUCCCCGGGCUCAACCUGGGAACUGCAUUUGUGACUGCAUCGCUGGAGUGCGGCAGAGGGGGAUGGAAUUCCGCGUGUAGCAGUGAAAUGCGUAGAUAUGCGGAGGAACACCGAUGGCGAAGGCAAUCCCCUGGGCCUGCACUGACGCUCAUGCACGAAAGCGUGGGGAGCAAACAGG
rnacentral:rRNA from 1 species